rnacentral:rRNA from 1 species
UGUCGUGUCGAUGGCAAAGAGGAACCACCUGUUCCCAUCUCGAACACAGAAGUUAAGCUCUUUAGCGCCAAAAGUAGUUGCCGGAACGCUGGCUGCGAGGAUAGGACGAUGCGAUGCCUGUACAUA